rnacentral:rRNA from 1 species
CUAAGUCUUGUAUUGGAAUGAUGGGAAUUUAAACCUCUUCCAGAGUAUCAAUUGGAGGGCAAGUCUGGUGCCAGCAGCCGCGGUAAUUCCAGCUCCAAUAGCGUAUAUUAAAAUUGUUGCAGUUAAAAAGCUCGUAGUUGAAUUUCUGCUGCAUUGCUUGUGUCCCUCCGGGGUCUGUGCAUGUGGCUUUUUUCGGACGGAGUUUCUUUGUCUGAAUGUUUACUUUGAGAAAAUUAGAGUGCUCAAAGCAGGCUUUUGCCUUGAAUAGUUUAGCAUGGAAUAAUAAAGUAGGACUUUGGUUCUAUUUUGUUGGUUUUAGGUACCAAAGUAAUGGUUAAUAGGAACAGUUGGGGGCAUUCGUAUUUAACUGUCAGAGGUGAAAUUCUUAGA